rnacentral:lncRNA from 1 species
CCAAGGCUCUCUGACUCCUUCCCAGAUCUUCUCAGCUUAGCAGCUGAAGACUGAUACUGCCGGAUUGCCUCAGAAGCCUACAAGACCAUCACAGACGCUCUAGGUAACUCUCACAGUGGAAGGUUCCCACGCCUCCCCUAAUCCUGAGAAACAUCACCCAUUCUCUCUCUCCAUACCACCCCCUGCCAAAAAUGUUUCGCCGCCCCAACACUUCGACACUAUUUUGUUUUAUUCUUCUUAUUAAUAUAAGAAGACAG